rnacentral:rRNA from 1 species
AUUGAACGCUGGCGGCAUGCCUUACACAUGCAAGUCGAACGGUAACAGGUCUUCGGAUGCUGACGAGUGGCGCACGGGUGAGUAAUACAUCGGAACGUGCCCGAUCGUGGGGGAUAACGAAGCGAAAGCUUUGCUAAUACCGCAUACGAUCUACGGAUGAAAGCAGGGGACCGCAAGGCCUUGCGCGAACGGAGCGGCCGAUGGCAGAUUAGGUAGUUGGUGGGAUAAAAGCUUACCAAGCCGACGAUCUGUAGCUGGUCUGAGAGGACGACCAGCCACACUGGGACUGAGACACGGCCCAGACUCCUACGGGAGGCAGCAGUGGGGAAUUUUGGACAAUGGGCGAAAGCCUGAUCCAGCCAUGCCGCGUGCAGGAUGAAGGCCUUCGGGUUGUAAACUGCUUUUGUACGGAACGAAAAGACUCUGGUUAAUACCUGGGGUCCAUGACGGUACCGUAAGAAUAAACACCGGCUAACUACGU